GUUCGCGGGGCCGGGGAAGCCGUUCGAGCAGCGUCGUGUCGCGGUCCGGGACUGUCCUCAGUCCCGGGUCGUCUCGGCGCGGUUCCGAGCGGUCGCUCCCUCGCGAGGUGCCGCGGGUCAGCGGCUGACGCCAGCCACCUUCCCGACCCGUCUUGAAACACGGACCAAGGAGUCUAACAUGUGCGCGAGCCGCGGGGCAGUACGAAACCCGUAAGGCGAAAUGAAGGUGAACGCCGGCGCGGUCCGGCGGAGGUUGGAUCCCGUCCCGUCGGGGCGGGCGCACUACCGGCCGAUCUUCUCCGCCCUGUCGGCGAGGUCGAGCGAGAGCGUGCAAGUCGGGACCCGAAAGAUGGUGAACUAUGCCUGAGGAGGUUGAAGCCAGAGGAAACUCUGGUGGAGGACCGUAGCGAUUCUGACGUGCAAAUCGAUCGUCAAAUUUGGGUAUAGGGGCGAAAGACUAAUCGAACCGUCUAGUAGCUGGUUCCCUUCGAAGUUUCCCUCAGGAUAGCUGGCGCUCUGUCGCAGUUUUAUCUGGUAAAGCGAAUGAUUAGAGGUCUUGGGGGCGAAACGCCCUCAACCUAUUCUCAAACUUUAAAUUGGUAAGAAGCCCGACUCGCUCGUUUGGAGCCGGGCAUGGAAUGCGAGUGCCAAGUGGGCCACUCUUGGUAAGCAGGACUGGCGAUGCAGGAUGAACCGAACGCCGGGUUAAGGCGCCCGACGCGACGCUCAUCAG
rnacentral:ncRNA from 1 species